GGGGAAUUUUCCGCAAUGGGCGAAAGUCUGACGGAGCAAUACCGCGUGAGGGAUGACGGCCUUCGGGUUGUAAACCUCUUUUAUCAAGGAGGAAGUUCUGACGUGUACUUGAUGAAUAAGCAUCGGCUAACUCCGUGCCAGCAGCCGCGGUAAGACGGAGGAUGCAAGUGUUAUCCGGAAUCACUGGGCGUAAAGCGUCUGUAGGUGGUUUAAAAAGUCUGCUGUUAAAAAUUGAAGCUUAACUUCAAGGGUGCCGUAGAAACUUUUAAACUCGAGGAUGGUAGGGGUAGAGGGAAUUUCCAGUGGAGCGGUGAAAUGCGUAGAUCUUGGAAAGACCACCAAUGGCGAAGGCACUCUACUGGGCCAUUACUGACACUAAGAGACGAAAGCUAGGGGAGCAAAAGGGAUUAGAUACCCCAGUAGUC
rnacentral:rRNA from 1 species